rnacentral:tRNA from 1 species
GCGGUAAUAGCUCAGUGGUAGAGCCCACGUUUAGCAUGCAUGAAGUCCAGGGUUCAAUCCCCAGUACCUCCA